CACUCCCACUCUCUCUCUCAUAUCUCUCACUUUUCUCUUCCUCUCUUGCCGAGACAUACACACACACACCCACAUACAUUCAGACCACCCACCACCACUACCAUCUCUGACCUCUAGACACAAAUCUCAGACAUAGAGGUUCCUUUCUUCCCACAUUUUUCGGCUGCAUAGUCGUGGUCACUGUGCAAUACUUUUAUCAGGCGAAUUCUCGCCAUUUCUGGCCAAGGAACUCGAAAAACACAAGGGAAGUCACUGUGCAAAAUCUGGAAUUUCAAAUCUGUGAUCAUUUGGCCACUUUCCAACCAUUUUUCCGGCCAACGCCGAUCACCGUUGGGCCUCCUAACGGUUAUGGAAGAUGGCUUAGCUCAAAACAAUCCCAAAGUUGUGAUAGCUAGAAGAAUUUACAAGAAGGGGAACUCUGCAGGUGUGCAAAUUCUGGUGCAGUGGCAAGAUCAAGAGGAGGAUAAUGCUCUUUGGGAGGACUUCAACGAAUUCCAGGCCAAGUUUCCUGAUUUUUCUCUUUGAACCUUGUGGACAAGGUUUUCUUAAAGAGGGAGUGUUGUUAUGAAUUGCAUAUCUGUGAUUACUUCGAUCACAAGAAUAAUAAUUAGCUAUAGUUAAAGGGUUAAAUUGUAAGAGAUUUGGGGGUUGAAUUGUAAUGAUCUGGGAUCUUUGGGUUUGAUUGUAAUAGGCCAAGUGUUGUAGGGAGUUGAUUCCAUAAGUUUGUUGAAGUUGUACAACUGGCAAUCACACUGGAUUACUAGCUACUGGUAUAUAUCUCUCUCUCCACACUCAUUGUAAUGGUUAGAUUUGAAUUAUUCCAGUCCCAACUUCUUCUCCAUUUGCAUUGCUGCUGAUGAGUCCAUA